rnacentral:rRNA from 1 species
GAUGAACGCUGGCGGCGUGCUUAACACAUGCAAGUCGAACGGAAAGGCCCAAGCUUGCUUGGGUACUCGAGUGGCGAACGGGUGAGUAACACGUGGGUGAUCUGCCCUGCACUUCGGGAUAAGCCUGGGAAACUGGGUCUAAUACCGGAUAGGACGAUGGUUUGGAUGCCAUGGUGGAGAGUUUUUUCGUUGUGGGAUGAGUUAGGGGCUUGUCAGCUUGUUGGUGGGGGAUUGGCCAAACAAGGCGUCGGCGGGUGGCCGGCAGGUGAGGGGGGAGGGCCACAUGGGAACUGGGAAACGGGCCAGAGUCCUGAGGCAGGCAGGAGGGGGGAAUAUGGAACAAUGGGCGAAAGGCUGAUGCAGGGACGAGCAGUGGGGGGUGAGGGCUUUAGGGUUGUAAGUUGCUAUCGCUAGGGACGAGGCGUGUUUGUGACGGUACCUGGAGAAGAAGCACCGGCUAACUACGUG